GGUGCUUCUGUGUAUAUUCCUGGGUAAUAGAGGAUUAUUGGUCAUUAGCUAUGUGGUACUUAAAGUUUUGAUCUUUGAUUAUCUGUGCUGAGAGAUAACAAACAAAAAAAAAUCUGAGUUACGUGAACAUCUUUUUUUUUUUUUUUUUUUUAGUGAACCUUGUUCAUGUAUAUUUUGACCAGGGCUGUUUAUAGGUAGCAAAAGUGAUGUAAAGCUAGGCACAAUUUGAUAAACAAUGACGGUCAGGGAGUAAAAAUAGAAAUAGUUACUGAAUAUUUCAUGAGCAUAUAUUGGAGCAUUGUUUGUAUUUUUGCCUCAGUUUAUUUAAAUAUGUCUAAGUCAAGAUGUUUUAUUGAUAUGUUUGUUUAAAAAAGGCUUUUAGUAGAGCUUGAGAGAAAAGAUGACCAGUCAGUCCCAAUCUUAAAACCAGUUCUUUAGAAUAUUAAACUAAUUUAUGUUCAAACUUAAUAACUUAGUACUACUUGGAGACAAAUACAAAGCUGGAGGUCAACAUCAUGUAGGAAAAAUUUUAAUCCCCCAACGAAAAAUAUGGGUGGUUUUGUCUUUUUAUUUUUAUAUUAGAAACUAUUUACCUAAGAGUUUGUUUUUAUUGUUUAACCUUAUUUGUUCUUUAAUUUUAAUAAACUGAGACAUGAAAGAGAAUGCUGAAAUGCCAAACUGGGUUAAGACUUCAGUAGUUUAUAAACAAUAACAGAUACCUAGCUAAAGUUACCUUUAUUUCAUUGAGCCUAGAAAGUUAUUUUUACUGUGACAUUUUUAAGAUCAUGUUAUACUUCCAGUAAAUUAUAAUUACCUGUAUGGUUCUUUAAUCUUUUAGAAAGAUACUUAGAUAAAACGUCAAGGGCUUUUUUAUAAGUAUUAGGAAUGCUUGCUUUUGGAUGUAGAAAUAGAGAAAGCAGAAGAUACAGGAAUGGAAUAGUUUCAUGGUAUGGUCUUUCUGUGAAUAUUUUUGGGUGAAAUCUUUUCUUUGGAGAUUAUACUAUACAUUAUUAGAUGGCCUAAAAAAAUACUUGAGUGAAAUGCAGUCAUCAAAUGUUUUUCUAUUGGUUAUUUCCAUCCUAAAUUAAAGUGAGUUGAUAUUGCCACGAAAAGGGAUACUUCUUUUCUUGUCAAGCUAGUAGUAUGGUAUAUGUGAAGAAAAACAGUUUUUUCAUUUCAGGUCAUUUAUUCAAUGUAAUUUUGACUACUGUACAUUAAGCCUAGCUCAUCUUAUAAAAACAGAGGUAACAUUUCAAUUUUCAAUAACAUUUUAAUUUCUUUGCGUGCAUUCUUGGAUGAAUGUUUAUUUGAUAGUACAAAAUCUUAUUCUGUGUGGGCUGAGUAUGUAUGUUUUAAUUUAGAACUAAGCUGUUAGGAAGACAUUGAGUGAGUUUCUUUUGUUUUACGAGCCAUUUUGAUUAGGUUUUCUUUUAUGUUUACUUAAACAAAUUAGAAUUUUAUUUGAGUGCCAUGUCUAAUGCCUAAGUAGGUUUCUCUGGAAAAUUAAGACAAUAUUAAGAAAGCUAUAAUAAUUUUACUUUAAAGACAUUUUUAAACUUGUAGGUUUUAAUCAUUUUGGUAUUCAUAGCCAGUAAUUGUGUCCAAAAGUAGCAAUAAAUAACUUAUAAUAUUAUGGAAGUAAUUUCUCCUAAAAUUGAGCAUAGUGUUGCAUAUCACUCAUUAAACUUUUAAAAAAACUAACCAUUGAUAAAUAUAUGAUGUACUGAAUGUUAGGUGCUACUGCUUUAUCUUCUGGGUAAUGUCAGAAGACUAAUUUCUUUUAAGGUAACAGUUUUAAAGUGUUAACCAUAGUCUUGGACAUAAAAUAUUAUUAGUCUUUAUCUUGAAUUUGUUACUACUUUGCACUAAGAUUACAAGGGCCUUCACUUAGGUGACAAGGUUCUGAGCUUCCACUGACUGUGGUUUUCCAUUUAAAGGAACAAAAAAGCACUAGUACCUAAAAUUUGCUGUAAAAGACAUUUCACCUGCUUUGGUAUUACCUCACUGCCAUCUGACUGUAUCCCUGCCUUUCCUGAUUUCUGUGGCUAUAGUAGAAGUCUUGUGGAGUUUGUGGAGUUUUUGAAGUUUGUGUAGUUUUGAAGUUUUGAGAACAGACCUGUUUGUAGUUAUGAUCCAGUGGCAUAAGCUGACCUCAGGAUAUACCAGCUUGCUUUAUUAGUGACUUAAUUUUCUUACUGUAGUAAAUUGGGUGUGAUUUUAACUUGUUCAUUCUUUGUAUAUGUAUACUUUAAGUAUACAUAUUUUGUAUAUGUAUAUUUUAACUUGUAAGUGAUCAGACAUCUCUAUCAUCAUCUCUGAAUUAAAAUUAAAAUUGUUUAACUCCUGAAAAAUUCAACUGAUGUUAUGCAACUUGGAACAUAAGACCGGACAAAUUACUGAAUCUGACAUUUCAAAUAUUUCCUAAUGUGCUUUUAACUUUUGCUGGGCACAAAUGGAAUUUCUCAGCCUCUGUCAUAAAAAAAGAGUUUGUUAUUGUUUGGUAAGACAGAUUAAAACACAGCUGGGAAUGAAGUAGUUAGCCCAGUCUCAAAGACAUUAGCCUCCCUCUGUUUAUUUCCUCCUGUUUGUAUUCCUAGAAGCAAACAGCUGUGCAUUCCAUUUUAUUCUUUAUUCCUUUACUUAAAAUCUGGAUCCCAAAAGAAGUAAAUUGGGCAUUUAGGCUUAGAAAAGUUGCCUUAUCUGUAAUUUUUAUUGCCCUUUUCACUUGAAACAAUGAUGUAUUCAUAGUCUUAAAUAUUUUUAAAAGUAGUUACCCACAAUCUCACCAUCAAACAUUUUCAUAUAGUUUACCCAUAAUAUAGAUACCAUUCAGUAGUCUGCUUUUCUCAGAUGAUUGCUAUAACAUUUUCUUACCCAUCUACAGACUUAUAGUUUUAACUUCUGCUGUUCUGUUAUUCUGUUUAUUCUGUUAUUAAAUGUUUCAUUUAAAAUUGUGCACAGUUCACUUAGUUCCAAAAUAAUAUUACUUUCAUGUAUGAAUAACAUACAUUUUAAACUUUUAAAUGUCUUUUCUAGACUGAUUAAAUGUUUAAAUUCUCAUAAAGCCAUUUAUGCUAUACAAAUUAGCAUAGGUCUGCAGGUUUCAGUUCAAAGAAUGUCAGGUAUAGGUAAAUAAAAACUUUAAUUUGAAAAAUUGAAAUAAAUACUCAAAAGUAUUUGAAGCCCGUAGAGACAGGCAAGGCCUUUAGGAAUGCAUCAGUGAAUUCAUUUUUUAUGUAUAUACAGGAAUGCAUGGUCAUGCAUAAUUAUAUAUAAUUGGCAAUAGUAAGCUGUUUAUUAUAGUAAGUUGAUGUGGGUCCUUCAGAUGACAAUUUUGUGGAUGGUGGAAUUAAGAUGAUCUUGUGGUAGAGCAUAGUUGGCUUCUGUGAUUUAUUUGUUGAUGGGCCCCCAUAUAGCUCUCAUUUUAGUUAACAUAUUGUUAUUUAUCUGUCAUCCAUGGACUUAUUUUUACACUGUUAAAUCUAUUUUUUAGUAUGUAUUAAGUAAAUAACUUUAUGUUUUAGUUUUUUCUUUUAUUUCUCUUAAAAUGAUUUAUUAUGACAUGUAGUCAUAGAAUUCCAGUGUUCUUAUUUUUAAGAUAAAGUUCAUGUUAUUGAACACUGACAGUCAUCUCAUCCCAUUCCUAUCAUUUUCUUCAUCAUCAUCAUCAUCUGUCUUAUAGUAUGAAAUUAUACCUUGGGUCAUAAAUUACUCCUUUCAUUCUUUUUAAACCAAAAGCUUUUUAACUUUAAGUUGUUAUAUUGCAACCAAAUGGGACAUAACAACAAUAUACUCCUUGAAAAAAUGUUUUUUCUGAAUAGAAAGGAAUAUGUGCUUCUGUUGGGAAACGUAGAAUAUCACACCAAAAAAUGUUAAUACCUGUACUCUACCACUGUAUAUGUAACUAUUGACAUGUAUUCUUUCAGUUUCCUUCCUAUACAUUUAUAUAAUAAGAGAAUUGGGAUUAUAGUUCACACAUUCAUAACUUGAUUCACUUAAUGUGUCUUGAGUAUUUACUAUUAAAUAUUGAUGUACAUCUUUUUAGUUAUUAUUAGAAAAGCUAUAUGUAUUGAUGAUAAUUCCCCUGCCUUUUCAGCCUUCUUUUGUCAGCUACUGAUGAAACUUUUUUAUAUAAUAAUAAACAGUGCUGGGU
rnacentral:lncRNA from 1 species